rnacentral:lncRNA from 1 species
CAAGAACUCAUGGACUUUCCUUCACUGAUACUGGCCACUGAUGCAAAUGAGCACCAAGACUGCCAAUAAUUACCAAUGCUGAAAUCCUGGAAACAAAUGGAUGUUACACACAUAGCAAACUUUGAUGGUAAGGCUCCAGCAGAAAGACAUUGGCAAGUGUUAGAGGAAAAGAGGAAAGUUUAUCCAAAAGUUUUAUGGAAAUCCCCAGAAGAAGGACAAUGGAAAGAUCCAGUGGAUUUACUGAUGAGAAGACAAGGUUAUACUCGUGUUUUUACAGGAGAUGGACAAACCGUGUGGAUGCCCUCAAGGUGCAUGAGACCAUGGAAUGGGAGACUGGAGGAACCCAGGGUGGCCAACCAUGGGCUUCGCCCCUUGGUAUGAGCCAUGAGCCAGCUGAGCCUGAGUGUGAAGACAGGGAGAAGGCUGACUAGAGUCACGACGACAUCAACCCAAUAACUUGGGGGCAACUCAAGAAAACCAUGCAGGAAGCUGAGAAACAAGUGGAGCAUCAAAACCAGACAAAAACCCCUAAUUACAUGUUCAUGGCCAUGUUAGC